GUUUCUGUGCUGAUCCCUCUCUUGGAGAACGGACAGCUCUUGAUUCCUGGCCGCAGUGACUGUCUGAAAGUGGCUCCUGGAUUUCAGUUUUUUGCAACCAGGAGACUUUUAAGCUGUGGAGGAAAUUGGCAUCGGCCACUAAAUAGUCAUGCUACUUUACUAGACAAAUAUUGGACCAAAAUUCACCUGGAUAAUCUGGAUAAGAAAGAACUGAGUGAGGUAUGUGGUAUUAGAAUGUAUCAGUGCUUUCCUUUUUUCCUAAUAUUGUGAAAAGUUACCACCAAAAGAGGAAAUAGUACAGAUGGAGCAUCCCAACCUAAAAAUUCAAAAUCUAAAAUGCUCCAAAAUCUCAAACUUUUCAGCACCAACAUGAUACCACAAGUGGAAAAUGCCACACCAGCCUUCAUGUGGUGGGCUAUAGUCAAAAU
rnacentral:lncRNA from 1 species